GACGAACGCUGGCGGCGUGCCUAAUACAUGCAAGUAGAACGCACUUGCGAACGGGUGAGUAACGCGUAGGUAACUUCCUCAUCGCGGGGGAUAACUAUUGGAAACGCUAGCUAAUCCCGCAUACUGUGAGCUGGACCUGCGUUGUAUUAGCUAGUUGGUGAGGUAAAGGCUCACCAAGGAGACGAUACAUAGCCGACCUGAGAGGAUGAUCGGCCACACUGGAACUGAGACGAGGCCCAGACUCCUACGGGAGGAAGCAGUAAGGAAUCUUAGGAAAUGGACGGAAGUCUGACCGAGCAACGCCGCGUGAGUGAAGAAGGGUGUCGGAUCGUAAAGCUCUGUUGUUAGAAAAGCGGUGACUAACCAGAAAGGAACGGCUAACUACGUGCCAGCAGCCGCGGUAAUAC
rnacentral:rRNA from 1 species